AGAUAUAAUCGAAUAAAGGAGAAGACGUCAUGGUGGUUGUUGUUUUCUCGUUUUUUCAGUAUGUAGUUCUUUUCAAUUGUUGCGUUUUUUUUUUUCCUUCGUCGAAUUUGUG
rnacentral:ribozyme from 18 species